CUGAAAAACCGAUGUAAUGCAGGUGCACACACACACUCGCAAUUUUUUUUACCCAAAUGCAUGUACACGCAGGUACACACACGCAGGUACGCACACACGCAGACGCAGGCACGCAGACGCACACAAAAAAAACCGCAGGUACACACACGCAGCUACGCACACGCAGGUACGCACACGCACAAAAAAAAACGCAGGUACACACACGCAGGUACACACGCGCAGGUACGCACACGCAGGCACGCACGCAGACGCAGGCACGCAUACGCAGGCACGCAGACGCACACACAAAAAAAAACGCAGGUACACACACACGCAGGUACGCACACGCAGGCACGCACGCAGACGCAGGCACGCAUACGCAGGCAUGCAGACGCACACACAAAAAAAAACGGCAGGUACACACACGCAGGCACGCACGCACACACACACACCAUCAAAAAAAGAUUCUCUGCUCAACAAACAUGCAAGACCCUCUGAACUAGUUUUAAACUUAUAAAAAUAAAAAAAAAUC
ensembl:lncRNA